CCUGCGGAAGGAUCAUUAGAAAUAUCUGGGAUGCUCAAUAUGAGUUCCCAACAAAACACAUUCAUGCGUAUUCUUCCGUGUGUUUCCCCAGACCAAUGGCCAGUACGUACCAUCUUGGCCCAUAACAGGGUAUCCAGCUGGUGUACAGCCGCGUGUGUCUGGGAAGGCCCAAAUUGGCAAAACUUUAUGUUAACUUACUGUCUGACAAGGCCAUGUGCCCCUGUAUUUUAAAUAUUUUAAAACUUUCAACAACGGAUCUCUUGGCUCUCGCAUCGAUGAAGAACGCAGCGAAAUGCGAUAAGUAAUGUGAAUUGCAGAAUUCAGUGAAUCAUCGAAUCUUUGAACGCACAUUGCGCCCUUUGGUAUUCCUUAGGGCAUGCCUGUUCGAGCGUCACUAAAAACCCCAUCACAUUAUGUGUGGUAUUGGCAGAAGUGGGUACUCCCACCCUGCUGGAAUCAAUAGGCUGGAAAAGUAGAUCGUAGCAACAGACUUUCAGAGUGUUUUGAAAUGCUAAAUUAGUUUGAAGCUGGUCGGAACCCCAGGCCAUUUGACCCCUAUUCUGCACAAAGCAGUAAGGUUGACCUCGGAUCAGGUAGGGAUACCCGCUGAACUUAAGCAUAUCAAUAAGCGGAGGAAAAGAAACCAACAGGGAUUGCCUUAGUAACGGCGAGUGAAGCGGCAAAAGCUCAAAUUUGAAAUCUGACGCCUCUGGUGUUCGAGUUGUAAUUUGGAGAGGCAUCUUCUGAAGGGACCCAGCCUAUGUGCCUUGGAAC
rnacentral:rRNA from 1 species